UGCCGAUUAUGGAGCAGAGACGCAAAUCAUCCGCCGUGUGGGACCAUUUUGAUGUCCUGGAGAAUAAGGUGAAAUGUCGAAUUUGCCAAGUCGAAUUGUCAUACACCAACAGAAGCACCUCCACCAUGCUGAGGCAUUAUCGGGCCAAGCAUGAGAAUGAAGUUCGCGAUACACCCAGUAUUACGCCAGGUUCCAGGAAGCAGCUGUACUGGAAGGACCAACACACUUGUUUCCCAAACCUCUCCCACCUCGCAAAGGAGUUCCUUUGUACGCCAGCCUCAUCCGUCCCUUGUGAGCGUGUGUUCUCCACAGCAGGAGAAAUUGCUUGUAAAAGACGCAACAGGCUGAAGUUUAAAACAUUGGAGCAUCUUAUUUUUCUCAAUAAAAAAUUGUGAAGUCAAAGCCCACAAGCAUCCUCA